UGUAUACGCAUUCCACGGGCAUAGUGCACAGUGUGUCUACUACGGUACAUAACCGUGCAUUUGGUCAAGCCUUUGCCAAGAAGGAAGAUUUACUGAUGUGGUGCAACUCAAUUUAAUGAAUGGCAUCCAGACACCAUAUAUUCAUGCUAAGCCAAAAUCAGCUUAUGGACAUUGCAACUUCUAUUACAGACAUGAAAGUUAAACCAAAGAUACCUGAUUACUAACUGCUCUGCUUCAACGCUCU